rnacentral:rRNA from 1 species
GAGUUUGAUCGUGGCUCAGGAUGAACGCUGGCGGCGUGCCUAAUACAUGCAAGUCGAGCGAACAGACGAGGAGCUUGCUCCUCUGACGUUAGCGGCGGACGGGUGAGUAACACGUGGAUAACCUACCUAUAAGACUGGGAUAACUUCGGGAAACCGGAGCUAAUACCGAAUAAUACAUUGAACCGCAUGGUUCAAUAGUGAAAAACGGUUUUGCUGUCACUUAUAGAUGGAUCCGCGCCGCAUUAGCUAGUUGGUAGGGUAACGGCUUACCAAGGCGACGAUGCGUAGCCGACCUGAGAGGGUGAUCGGCCACACUGGAACUGAGACACGGUCCAGACUCCUACGGGAGGCAGCAGUAGGGAAUCUUCCGCAAUGGGCGAAAGCCUGACGGAGCAACGCCGCGUGAGUGAUGAAGGUCUUCGGAUCGUAAAACUCCGUUAUUAGGGAGAACAAAUGUGUAAGUAACUAUGCACGUCUUGACGGUACCUAAUCAGAAAGCC